CGGCGGACGGGUGAGUAAUGCCUAGGAAUCUGCCUGGUAGUGGGGGACAACGUUUCGAAAGGAACGCUAAUACCGCAUACGUCCUACGGGAGAAAGCAGGGGACCUUCGGGCCUUGCGCUAUCAGAUGAGCCUAGGUCGGAUUAGCUAGUUGGUGAGGUAAUGGCUCACCAAGGCGACGAUCCGUAACUGGUCUGAGAGGAUUAUCAGUCACACUGGAACUGAGACACGGUCCAGACUCCUACGGGAGGCAGCAGCA
rnacentral:rRNA from 1 species